rnacentral:rRNA from 1 species
GGGUUGUGAGGUUAAGCGACUAAGCGUACACGGUGGAUGCCCCGCAGUCAGAGGCGAUGAAGGACGUGCUAAUCUGCGAAAAGCGUCGGUAAGGUGAUAUGAACCGUUAUAACCGGCGAUGUCCGAAUGGGGAAACCCAGUGCAAUUCGUUGCACUAUCGUUAACUGAAUACAUAGGUUAACGAGGCGAACCGGGGGAACUGAAACAUCUAAGUACCCCGAGGAAAAGAAAUCAACCGAGAUUCCCCCAGUAGCGGCGAGCGAACGGGGAGCAGCCCAGAGUCUGAAUCAGCUUGUGUGUUAGUGGAACGGUCUGGAAAGUCCGACGGUACAGGGUGAUAGUCCCGUACACCAAAAUGCACAGGUUGUGAACUCGAAGAGUAGGGCGGGACACGUGGUAUCCUGUCUGAAUAUGGGGGGACCAUCCUCCAAGGCUAAAUACUCCUGACUGACCGAUAGUGAACCAGUACCGUGAGGGAAAGGCGAAAAGAACCCCGGCGAGGGGAGUGAAAAAGAACCUGAAACCGUGUACGUACAAGCAGUGGGAGCACCUUCGGGUGUGACUGCGUACCUUUUGUAUAAUGGGUCAGCGACUUAUAUUCUGUAGCAAGGUUAACCGUAUAGGGGAGCCGCAGGGAAACCGAGUCUUAACUGGGCGUUAAGUUGCAGGGUAUAGACCCGAAACCCGGUGAUCUAGCCAUGGGCAGGUUGAAGGUUGGGUAACACUAACUGGAGGACCGAACCGACUAAUGUUGAAAAAUUAGCGGAUGACUUGUGGCUGGGGGUGAAAGGCCAAUCAAACCGGGAGAUAGCUGGUUCUCCCCGAAAGCUAUUUAGGUAGCGCCUCGUGAAUUCAUCUUCGGGGUAGAGCACUGUUUCGGCUAGGGGUCAUCCCGACUUACCAACCCGAUGCAAACUACGAAUACCGAAGAAUGUUAUCACGGGAGACACACGGCGGGUGCUAACGUCCGUCGUGAAGAGGGAAACAACCCAGACCGCCAGCUAAGGUCCCAAAGUCAUGGUUAAGUGGGAAACGAUGUGGGAAGGCACAGACAGCCAGGAUGUUGGCUUAGAAGCAGCCAUCAUUUAAAGAAAGCGUAAUAGCUCACUGGUCGAGUCGGCCUGCGCGGAAGAUGUAACGGGCUAAACCAUGCACCGAAGCUGCGGCAGCGACACUAUGUGUUGUUGGGUAGGGGAGCGUUCUGUAAGCCUGCGAAGGUGUGCUGUGAGGCAUGCUGGAGGUAUCAGAAGUGCGAAUGCUGACAUAAGUAACGAUAAAGCGGGUGAAAAGCCCGCUCGCCGGAAGACCAAGGGUUCCUGUCCAACGUUAAUCGGGGCAGGGUGAGUCGACCCCUAAGGCGAGGCCGAAAGGCGUAGUCGAUGGGAAACAGGUUAAUAUUCCUGUACUUGGUGUUACUGCGAAGGGGGACGGAGAAGGCUAUGUUAGCCGGGCGACGGUUGUCCCGGUUUAAGCAUGUAGGCUGAUUAUCGGGCAAAUCCGGAUAAUCAAGGCUGAGGUGUGAUGACGAGGCACUACGGUGCUGAAGUAACAAAUGCCCUGCUUUCCGGAAAAGCCUCUAAGCAUCAGGUAACAUCAAAUCGUACCCCAAACCGACACAGGUGGUCAGGUAGAGAAUACCAAGGCGCUUGAGAGAACUCGGGUGAAGGAACUAGGCAAAAUGGUGCCGUAACUUCGGGAGAAGGCACGCUGGUGUGUAGGUGAAGCCCCUGCGGGUGGAGCUGAGACCAGUCGAAGAUACCAGCUGGCUGCAACUGUUUAUUAAAAACACAGCACUGUGCAAACACGAAAGUGGACGUAUACGGUGUGACGCCUGCCCGGUGCCGGAAGGUUAAUUGAUGGGGUUAUCCGUAAGGAGAAGCUCUUGAUCGAAGCCCCGGUAAACGGCGGCCGUAACUAUAACGGUCCUAAGGUAGCGAAAUUCCUUGUCGGGUAAGUUCCGACCUGCACGAAUGGCGUAAUGAUGGCGGGCUGUCUCCACCCGAGACUCAGUGAAAUUGAACUCGCUGUGAAGAUGCAGUGUACCCGCGGCAAGACGGAAAGACCCCGUGAACCUUUACUAUAGCUUGACACUGAACAUUGAGCCUUGAUGUGUAGGAUAGGUGGGAGGCUUUGAAGCGUGGACGCCAGUCUGCGUGGAGCCAACCUUGAAAUACCACCCUUUAAUGUUUGAUGUUCUAACGUUGGCCCCUGACCGGGGUUGCGGACAGUGUCUGGUGGGUAGUUUGACUGGGGCGGUCUCCUCCCAAAGCGUAACGGAGGAGCACGAAGGUUAGCUAAUCCUGGUCGGACAUCAGGAGGUUAGUGCAAUGGCAUAAGCUAGCUUGACUGCGAGCGUGACGGCGCGAGCAGGUGCGAAAGCAGGUCAUAGUGAUCCGGUGGUUCUGAAUGGAAGGGCCAUCGCUCAACGGAUAAAAGGUACUCCGGGGAUAACAGGCUGAUACCGCCCAAGAGUUCAUAUCGACGGCGGUGUUUGGCACCUCGAUGUCGGCUCAUCACAUCCCGGGCUGAAGUAGGUCCCAAGGGUAUGGCUGUUCGCCAUUUAAAGUGGUACGCGAGCUGGGUUUAGAACGUCGUGAGACAGUUCGGUCCCUAUCUGCCGUGGGCGCUGGAGAAUUGAGGGGGGCUGCUCCUAGUACGAGAGGACCGGAGUGGACGCAUCACUGGUGUUCGGGUUGUCAUGCCAAUGGCACUGCCCGGUAGCUAAAUGCGGAAGAGAUAAGUGCUGAAAGCAUCUAAGCACGAAACUUGCCCCGAGAUGAGUUCUCCCUGAGACUUUAAGUCUCCUGAAGGAACGUUGAAGACGACGACGUUGAUAGGCCGGGUGUGUAAGCGCAGCGAUGCGUUGAGCUAACCGGUACUAAUGAACCGUGAGGCUUAACCUUACAACGCCGAAG